rnacentral:tmRNA from 2 species
GGGGGCGUACUGGAUUCGACAGGGACGCUUGAGGGCAGUACGGCGUGCCGAGGUAGCCCAUGGCCUCGUAAAAAUGGGCAAAGCCAUAACUGGCAACAAGACCUACGCUCUCGCUGCUUAAGCAGCGACGCCCCUCAGAAGCCCAGCCGAUGGCGUGCUGAGCGGGCGACCCAAAGUCGGCUAGCCUGCGGCAAGGCUCCGUAGCCAAGGGCGAAACCCAACGGAGCUAGGCCUAGGCCCGCUGUUGGUGGCGCAAGCCUAGGCGAGAUGCAAACACCAACUACGCACGUAGAUGUCUGCCCGAUGGGUCUUUGGACGGGAGUUCGAUCCUCCCCGCCUCCACCA